AAGAGAAAAUUCCAGAUAAUAACCCUGUCAAAAGCAUUUGAAAAACAUUUCAUGCAUUCUCAGUGGGUUUUUAGGAAACUUCAAGAACUCGAAGACUUUAGAGAUUUUUAGUGGAAAAACACAGUAAUUUCUACCACUGCCAAGAAAAACUUUGAGCAUAAAAUAAAUCAAAGCAAGUUCUCUCUUUUUUUUUUUUUUUGGCAGUGCUGCGUGGCUUAUGGGAUCUUAGCUUCCUGACCAGGGAUUGAACCCGCACACCCUGCACUGGGAGGUGAAGUCUUAACCACUGGACUGCCAGGGAAUUGUGACAAGAAGUUUAUAUCAGUAAUUCAAAUAGAAUCCACUGCUAAGCAGCAAAUCACAUCCCUGAAACGGGGGUCGAGUCUUCCAUGGAAGGAGUCAAGAGAAAAAAAGUUCUGGAUGAAGGGGGCGUGCAGAUAUGGAAGGAGGCAACGCAAGGCAGUGGCUUUGCUUAGGUCUGCUUGGCGAUUUCUGGGUCCUAGUUGCUCUGCAAGUCGCAGCGUCCUAUCUCCAUAGCAACCCCAGGCAGGGUUCCCCUAAGAGAAAUAACACACAUCUGUUGCCAGGAUUCUAGGGAGGAGACCAAGAAAGAUGAAAAUCCUAGAUCUGUGAUUUGGUGGAGCCUCUGCUCCUCUACCUAGCUCAGCCAAUCCAAUCUGCAGUCCAUCAGUCGCGGUUGGAAACCUGAGAACUGGUCCGACGCAAAGAGGAGGAGCCGCGACCCGGCGGGAUGAUUUUCAGGGUCUGAUAGUUUGAUUCAAGUUGCACGUUGAGGAGUGAGUCCUGCAUUAGUGGAGGGACGAUACAUUUACAGAGCUUGUGUGUGUGUGUGUGUGUGUGUGUGUGUGUGAGAGAGAGAGACAGAGAGACAGAGAGACAGAGAGAGAACGAGAGAGGGAGGGAGGGAGAGAGAGAGAAAGGAGGGAUGGAGGGACGGAGCGAGGGGGAGACCUUGGUAAUGUUGAGGUGCAGGUGACAAUGAGACUCUCGUUUGCAGAACAUCAGAGUCCAAGACUCAGAGGGCAAAGGUUUCUCAUCUGUGCCAACCAAACUUGGGCAACUUUUGAACAAUAAACAAGGAAGUCCUGAUUUUUGCUCUUCUCCCUCAUGUGGAAUCUGCCAGAUGAGUAGGCAGAAAAUUACCUUCAAGGAGAAGGCAGUGCAGAAGCUUACCCUAUAUAAAUAGACAAUUCAUGGGUUACCUGUUUCCUAAUAAUUGAAAUUCAAAUUAACUCUAAAGCUAUAUUAGUAUAAUGUAACCUUUAUUUGAUAAUAUGAAUGUGAAUUCAUAAUUUUGCAAUAUUUAAGAUCAUGACUAUUAAUUCAUAUUAUUCCAUCUCCAACAUAAAGAAGGUAUAGAGGAUGGAACCAUAUCUGGCCUUGACUAAAAACUGUAAAUUAAAGUCUUUUUUUUAAGAUUAUAAUUAAAAAAAAUUUUUUUGGCCACGUGGCUUGUGGGAUUUUUAGUUCCCUGACCAUGGGCAGGGAAGAGCAGUGAGAGCAGAAGAGUCCUAACCACUGGACCACCAGGGAAUUCCCUAAUUAAAGUCUUUAAUGUUAAUUUGUUCUGUAUCUCUCUCUCUUUUAAAAUAAACCAAUUAAUACUUGAUAUAACUUCCAAUUAGCGACAUGUUGGUCAUAAAUUCUAAUUUCAUGAAAGAGCAUCAUACUUACCUCCCACCCCCAGUUUGGUGGGAGAAGCACAGAACUCUUCAAUCAUUUGUUCAAAGCUGUGGAUAUUUACCCUUCCCAAAAUACACAUGGGUGUGCACACACCAAAUGUUGCAUGUAAUUUCUUCUGGUUCAGGGACUCCUUGAAGUCAGAGUCCCAGAUUAGAACUCUUGGAAUAAGACUCGGAAAAACAGAAUGAAAGGUAAACUGGAAUUAUAAAUUGGAGAUUUUUUGUAAUUGAUACAAAGGUUGAAGGGGAGAUAGCAUUUUUUCCCCAUCAUAGUUCUAUUUUCUCCACCCUUGAAGCUGACAAGAUAUGAUGGAGGAUUUUUUCUUGGACUGACAAGCCAGAGCAGGGUGGUAGGACCAGAAAAAAGGCAUGAUAAGGAACAGUUUUUUGCAUCUAUAUUCAUGAGAGAUCUUAGUCCAUAGUUUUCUUUUCUGCAAUGUCUUUGUCUGGUUUUGUUAUUAGAGUAAUUCUGGCUUCAAAGAAUGAAUUAGGAAGUAUUUCCCCUGCUUCUGUUUUCUGGAAGAGAUUGUAGAGAAUUGAUCAAAUUCACCUGUGAACCCAUCUGGGCCUGUUUUCAAAGAUUAUUAAUUAUUGAUUCAAUUUCCUCAUAUAUAUGCCUAUAUAUGUGUGUGUGUGUUUUGGCAGACUGUAUUUUUCAAGGAAUUGCUCCAUUUUAUCUAGGUUAUCAAAUUUACGAGCAUAGACUUGUUCAUAGUAUCUUCUAUUAUCCUUUUAAUGUCCAUGGGAUUUCUAGUGAUGUUACAUCUUUUUUUUUUUUUUUUUUUUUGCGGUAUGCGGGCCUCUCACUGUUGUGGCCUGUCCUGUUGCGGAGCACAGGCUUCGGACAUGGCUCACGGGCCCAGCCGCUCCGCGGCAUGUGGGAUCUUCCCGGACCAGGGCACGAACCCGUGUCCCCUGCAUCGCAGAUGGACUCUCAACCACUGCACCACCAGGGAAGCCCCCCUUGGAACUUUUCAAUGAUCAGUGAAGUUUUAGUUUUCUAAGCUGUUGGAGGGGAUGCCCUAUUCCAAUAAUGAUCUGCCCAAAAUUUUAACUAAAGGUGAAAUGGAGAAACAUUUUAGAAAGACCUGUAUAAUUGUGAUGUCGUAAUUUGUUCCUCUUCUUCACUCAAAGUAAUCAAUUCAUUUUUUUCAUUUUGUCAUUUGGAUCUCAAAGAAUUGAAGUAAUUGGGAGCACAUCAUAUCAUCACAUGAAAUUGUACCAUGUUAUAUUACCUAGGUCUGUCUGCUGAGGGACCUGGAAGCAAUGAGAAGUCAGAGCAAUGAGCAUACCUAAAGCAUACCUAAAUCAGUCACAAUCAAUGACUGAUUGCAGUGGAGCGGCAAGGAAAGUACAAAUGAGCCUAGAACAUCUUCCUAUAUCAGAAAGAACUGAAAGAAUACUGGAAGCAUGUCAAAAGCACACCAGAGCCAACUUGGACUUAUUGCAACUGACAAAUUCUGGUACAUUUUAAAUAUUAAAAUAAAUAAAGGUAGUACAGAUUGUACUGUUUAAAUAAAAAAGAAGACAUGAGCCUAAUACGAGGCAUAGGCAAACUUUUCGGUAAUGGGCCAGUAAUUGUUUUAGUUUUGCGGCCCAAAUAUUAUGUGUUUAUAUAACAAGAAAGAAAAAACUUUCCACAGCUUUUCUAUUAUAUUUUAUUCAAACUAGAUUAUAAUUUAAAAUAAUUCUUUGUAAUAUAUGUCUACUAAAGACAAGGGUAGACUCACAGAUGUUGGGAGACAGUUUACAGUCUUAGGUAUGUUUAUUUUCUAUAGACAUGUUUCUUUAGAUGCUUUACUCAAACUCUAAUCAACCCAACAUCAAUAAAUAACUUAUUUUGCUUGGCUAAAAAAUGAAUCGCUGCAUAUCUAUUUUGAUUGCAGCCUCAUCUUUUACUUUUGUGAAGCGACUUUGUUGAGAUGAAAUAUUCUGUUUAAAAUUUUAUGUUUUUUCUGUCCAUUUCUUUCCUCUGAGUUGCGAGUAUUGCGAUUACUGCUUAGUGUGGUUAUAUUCAUGCAUAUCGUAUUCUUUUAGGUUAGCUGUAGUGUCAUUGUGUAAUAAACACGAUGUUUUACCUGUUCUUCAAUAAAAGUAAUCCAUUCUCCACUGUGCCUUAAAAGCAUGA